UUGAUCCUGGCUCAGGACGAACGCUGGCGGCGUGCNUAAUACAUGCAAGUCGAGCGGAGUUUUNNAGGAAGCUUGCUUCNUUUCAAACUUAGCGGCGGACGGGUGAGUAACACGUAGNCAACCUGCCCUCAAGCCUGGGAUAACUACCGGAAACGGUAGGUAAUACCGNAUAAUUUCUUUCUUCUCCUGAGGAGAGAAUGAAAGGCGGAGCAAUCUGNUGCUUGGGGAUGGGCCUGCGGCGCAUUAGCUAGUUGGUGGGGUAACGGCCCACCAAGGCGACGAUGCGUAGCCGACCUGAGAGGGUGAACGGCCACACUGGGANUGAGACACGGCCCAGACUCUUACGGGAGGCAGCAGUAGGGAAUCUUCCGCAAUGGGCNCAAGCCUGACGGAGCAACGCCGCGUGAGUGAUGAAGGUUUUCGGAUCGUAAAGCUCUGUUGCCAGGGAAGAACGUCCGGUAGAGUAACUGCUACCGGAGUGACGGUAC
rnacentral:rRNA from 1 species